GAGAUGUUGGGUUAAGUCCCGCAACGAGCGCAACCCUUAAGCUUAGUUGCCAUCAUUAAGUUGGGCACUCUAAGUUGACUGCCGGUGACAAACCGGAGGAAGGUGGGGAUGACGUCAAAUCAUCAUGCCCCUUAUGAUUUGGGCUACACACGUGCUACAAUGGACAAUACAAAGGGCAGCGAAACCGCGAGGUCAAGCAAAUCCCAUAAAGUUGUUCUCAGUUCGGAUUGUAGUCUGCAACUCGACUACAUGAAGCUGGAAUCGCUAGUAAUCGUAGAUCAGCAUGCUACGGUGAAUACGUUCCCGGGUCUUGUACACACCGCCCGUCACACCACGAGAGUUUGUAACACCCGAAGCCGGUGGAGUAACCUUUUAGGAGCUAGCCGUCGAAGGUGGGACAAAUGAUUGGGGUGAAGUCGUAACAAGGUAGCCGUAUCGGAAGGUGCGGCUGGAUCACCUCCUUUCUA
rnacentral:rRNA from 1 species